rnacentral:rRNA from 1 species
UACGUAGGGUGCAAGCGUUGCCCGGAUUUAUUGGGCGUAAAGGGCGCGCAGGCGGCUACGCACGUCCGUUGUGAAAUCGCUCGGCUCAACUGGGCGGGGUCGGCGGAUACGGCGUAGCUGGAGCAAGCUAGGGGGCAAUGGAAUUCCCGGUGUAGUGGUGGAAUGCGUAGAUAUCGGGAGGAACACCAGUGGCGAAGGCGACUACCUGGCCUGUUCUUGACGCUGAGGAGCGAAAGCGUGGGGAGCGAACAGG